rnacentral:lncRNA from 1 species
UCUAUGUUAAAAAAAUAAAUAAAAUAAAAUAUCCAUCCCUUUGGUUAAAGACUAUCCCAUUAGGGUAAACAUGUUUAAACAUCACAUAUUUUGCAUAUCUAAUUAUUUAUUGAAUGAAAAAAGAAAAUUUUCCACCAGAACUGUUCUGGUUUCUGCCAGAACAGAAUAUAUGUACCUUAUACACAUGUUGAAAAUCUACCUCAGUUUGCUUUAAAAAUCUAUUCCAGGCCUGUUAUAAAAGAUUCCUAAGCAUUAUUUAUUAUUCUGGCCUUCAAAACCCAUUAACAAGUACUUACACCCCAGAAUAGAUCAAAUUGUAGACUAAACUACGGCUGGCAAAGAUCACAGCACUAAUAGAAAAUUCUCUGAAUCUCUUGAACUUAUGGGUAGUCCAUAGAAACAGAAAGCAGAUUAGUGGCUGCCAGGGAAUGGGGGUGGGCAAGGAUGGGGGAUGAGUGCUCAUUAGGUAAGGGAUUUCCCUUGGGAGUAAUGAAAAUGGUCUGAAACUAGAUAGUAGUAAUUGUUGCACAACAUUAUGAAUUUGCAAAAUGUUACUAAUAGUAAGUUUUCUGUUAUGUAUAUUUUACCACAUUUUUUAAAAGACAUGCCUGUAGCCUUUAAGAAAGAAAAAACUGGCUCCAGUUCUUAUGGUCUUCCCUUUGUGCUCCCAGUGGGGUAUAGGACAGCAGAUAACAGUCUAGAGGUGAAAGAGGAGAAAGAGGAAUACUCCAAGAGUGAGAAGGAAGAUGAGGCUUCUCCCUCUCCCAGGAUUAUGCCAGGACAGGGGCCUUCAUAGGCCACUUUGCACUUGUGUUAGCAAGUGCUUGCUCCCAUAUGCUCAAAGAGCUAGACAGGCUUGGACUGAAAUCUAGCUCUGGCCCUCUCCAGCUAUGUGACUCUUGACAAGCCAUAUCACCAAACAUUCUGGAGUGCCCUACUAUGUGUGACUGUCCAAGGCCCUCCACACAUCAUGUGCUUCAAUCCUCACAAACUUCGGAGGCAGAGCCAUUAUCUCCUCUAAUUUCCAAAUGAGGAGGCUGAGACUUAGUAGGGUUAAUGCAGUUGCUCCAAAUCACACAGGCAGUGAGAACAGUUAAGGCCGUUAACCUCUAGUUUGUGUCUCCACUUCUAAAAUGGGGAGAAUAGUAACUACUUUGCAAGAGCAUCACAAGGAUUAAAGGUGCUCACUAAAUGGUGGCUGUCAUAAAUGAUAAAACUCACAAGAUCCUAAUAAGGUAGCACACAGAGCAAGAAUUUUAUUGAUGAGGGAAAUCACAUGGCUAGUCAGCGAUAGGGCUGGGACUAGGAUCUAAGCUGACCAACUUCCAAUCUGCUGCUCAUCUGACCACACUAUGUUCAAAAAGACACACCUAUAACAAUAAAUCGGCAAUAGGUCAACACAUAACUAAUCAGAACAUCAGGAAUGGAUGCAAUGUAGAUCUGGGGCAGAAAAGAGGUGUUUAUUUGGAGAGCAGAGCUCCAAACAAGGGAAGGGAAUGGAGAAGGCAAUGAAUGUCCUCUGAUCAGUUAGAGAUGUUUCCUGACAACAACAGAUGCUUGUGAGGCUGUGGAGAAAUAGGAAUGCUUUUACACUGUUGGUGGGAGCGUAAAUUAGUUCAACCAUUGCGGAAGACAGUGUGGUGAUUCCUUAAGGAUCUAGAACCAGAAAUACCAUUUGACUCAGCAAUCCCAUUACUGGGUAUAUACCUAAAAGAUUAUAAAUCAUUCUACUAUAAGGACACAUGCACAUGUAUGUUUAUUGCAGCACCAUUCACAUUAGCA